CGCUCUGGCCAUGUGACGCAGCU
rnacentral:piRNA from 1 species